rnacentral:rRNA from 1 species
UACGUAGGGUGCGAGCGUUGUCCGGAAUUAUUGGGCGUAAAGGGCUCGUAGGCGGUUUGUCGCGUCGGGAGUGAAAACCUUGGGCUUAACUCAGGGCUUGCUUUCGAUACGGGCAGACUAGAGGUAUGCAGGGGAGAACGGAAUUCCUGGUGUAGCGGUGAAAUGCGCAGAUAUCAGGAGGAACACCGGUGGCGAAGGCGGGUCUCUGGGCCGGAACUGACGCUGAGGAGCGAAAGCGUGGGUAGCAAACAGG